UGGGGAAUAUUGGACAAUAGGCGCAAGCCUGAUCCAGCCAUGCCGCGUGAGUGAUGAAGGCCCUAGGGUUGUAAAGCUCUUUUGAGAGGAUGAGGAAGGACGGUACUCUCAGAAUAAGUCUCGGCUAACUACGUGCCAGCAGCCGCGGUAACACGUAGGAGGCAAACGUUAUCCGGAUUUACUGGGCGUAAAGCGCGUGUAGGUGGUUUGGUAAGUAGAGCGUGAAAGCUCCUGGCUCAACUGGGAGAGGUCGUUCUAAACUGCCGGACUAGAGGAUGGUAGAGGGAGGUGGAAUUCCGGGUGUAGCGGUGGAAUGCGCAGAUAUCCGGAGGAACACCAGUGGCGAAAGCGGCCUCCUGGACCACUCCUGACACUCAGACGCGAAAGCUAGGGUAGCAAACG
rnacentral:rRNA from 1 species